rnacentral:rRNA from 1 species
UACGUAGGGUGCAAGCGUUUAAUCGGAAUUACUGGGCGUAAAGCGUGCGCAGGCGGUUGUGCAAGACAGAUGUGAAAUCCCCGGGCUUAACCUGGGAAUUGCAUUUUGUGACUGCACGGCUAGAGUGUGUCAGAGGGGGGGUAGAAUUCCACGUGUAGCAGUGAAAAUGCGUAGAUAUGUGGAGGAAUACCGAUGGCGAAGGCAGCCCCCCUGGGAUAACACUGACGCUCAUGCACGAAA